CUAUGUAAAUAUCUGAUUAUGACAGUAUUUGCUUAUGUCUUGACCAAAGCACGUGCCAGCAGUCGCGGUAAGACGUGGAAGAUAAGUGUUAUUCAUCUUUAACAGGUUUAAAGGGUACCUAGACGGUUAAUUAAACACUCCUAUGUAUUAAUUGACUAGAGUUUGAUGUGAGAGGGAUUGAGUACGGUGGUGGAGAGAUAAAAUUUUGUGAUACCGCUAUGGAACUGGUUAAGGCGAAGGCAACCUUCUAUGUAAAAACUGACGUUAAGGGACGAAGGCUCGUAUAAGAGAACAGGAUUAGAUACCCUGGUAUUUUGGGCAGACAAUGAUGAGUGUCAUAUGUAAGAAAAAAUUUUUGUGUAUAAACGAAAGUGUAAGCACUCCACCUCAAGAGUAACAUGGCAACAUGGGAACUGAAAUCAUUAGACCGUUUCUGAAACUCGUAGUGAAGUAUGUCGUUUAAUUUGAUAAUCCACAAAUAACCUUACCACAACUUGAAUUGCUUUAGUUUACUAAAGUAACAAGCGUUGCACGGCUGUCUCCAGUCAAUGUUGUGAAACCGUGGUUUGAUCCAUUGAAUUGACGUAAACCCUUACUUUAUUUAUUAUAAAGUAGUUCGCCGCUAUAUUGGUAGUGAUAUAUGGGACUAAGACAAGUCAUCAUGACCUGAACGUUGUGGGCUAAAGACGUGCUGCAGAGACCUUAACAAAAAGAUGCAAAA
rnacentral:rRNA from 1 species